UUUCUCCAAGGCACACGAAGCCAGCAAAAGCGUUUCUUAUGGCUUCAGUUUUAAUUCCACUUUAUUUAUCUUCUACAUGAAGUGACUGUCUGACAUUCUCUCUGUGAACGGCGGUUUGUUUGUUUUUACAUAAACAAUUAGGACAGAGAAUCAGCCUUUGUUAACAACAGACUGUCUUUAGCCUUCUUCCUACAGGAGGUUCAGCAAAAUUUAACAAGUAAGGAUCUUUGUGUGUAUGCUGGUUUAAGUGACCCUUGAUGUGAAUGAUUUCACUGCAUGCUAAUAAAAGCUGGGUGCAACAUGAACAAAUGAUGAUAAAAACGGAGUAAUAUGUUGUUGACAUAUUGUCAAGAACCAGGUUCUGUACUACUACUGCAUUUGAAAGGACUGGAGCAAUUGAUAUGAUCAGCAUGACCAGUGGAGAGGUUAAAGUGAGCUCAAAGCUUUGUUGUGAACUAGGACUAAUGGAGAAUGCUUGGUCAAACAGAGGCAACGAUGCAAACGUACCUCAUGCCAACACAGCCAUUUUAGGAAGCAGGGAGCCAGCCUUUCCAUCAAGAUGGCUUCCUCAAAGCACAGCCCCUCAUUCAGAGCUCCAAUCUUCAGCAUCUGUGGGGAUCGUGGCGACUGGCAGCCUCUUUGUCUCCACUGGCACAUGAACUGUAGCCUCUUGCUCAUCAUUUUUCUCUUCUCCCGCCCUCUGCUCCAGGGGGUAUGCAUGGCACCGAGUGCUUCCGUUGAUGAAGGGAGGAGGCUGGUAGAAAGAGGAUGAAAGUUGACCAUUAUUUUAUGCUCUUUAAUUUAGCUGGCCCUUUUUGUGUGUGUGUGUGUGUGUGUGUGUACACUGUGCUCCAUCAAGACAGUGUG